CCUCUGAUCUGCCUUCCCGCACCCCUCCCUCCCUCUCCUCCUCACCGAAUCGAUCCCCCUCCCUACAAGAGUUCUUUACCAUCACACGACCCAGAUCUGCCACCAGCGGCUGCCGCACCACCUCCUCGAGGCUACCAGCCAUCCACCGGCACCCCCUGCUCCCCCAUGGCCAACCCGAGUCCCCUCUCCUCUCAGAUCUGUAUGGAAUCUUUAGUGUGGAUAAGAAAUCUGUAAAACCAUUACUACUUCAAAACAAGGGCUGCACCAGUUGGUAGCUAGCAAUCAAAGUGAGAAUGUGAGAGGGAUCAAGGUGGGCCAACCUGGUAAUCAAAGUACUUCAUUAAUCUAAUUUAUGUUCAGAGUAAUUUUUUUUUUUCAAUUUUAUGUUGUCUCUUCUUUGUAAGCCUAGAGAAUUCCACAUAUGUGUACUUAGUCAAUGUGGUCAAAUGCAGUUGUAAACUUUUCUAGUUUUACUUUUCGGCAGUUAUAAGCUUUUCUAGUUUUACUUUGCAAUCCUUUUGUUUUCAGCUAUA